AGAAACCAACCGGGAUUGCCCUAGUAACGGCGAGUGAAGCGGCAAGAGCUCAAAUUUGAAAGCUGGCUCCUUCGGGGUCCGCAUUGUAAUUUGCAGAGGAUGCUUCGGGAGCGGUCCCCAUCUAAGUGCCCUGGAACGGGCCGUCAUAGAGGGUGAGAAUCCCGUCUGGGAUGGGGUGCCCGCGCCCGUGUGAAGCUCCUUCGACGAGUCGAGUUGUUUGGGAAUGCAGCUCUAAUUGGGUGGUAAAUUUCAUCUAAAGCUAAAUAUUGGCCGGAGACCGAUAGCGCACAAGUAGAGUGAUCGAAAGAUGAAAAGCACUUUGAAAAGAGAGUUAAACAGCACGUGAAAUUGUUGAAAGGGAAGCGCUUGCGAUCAGACUCGCCCGCGGGGUUCAGCCGGCAUUCGUGCCGGUGUACUUCCCCGUGGGCGGGCCAGCGUCGGUUUGGGCGGCCGGUCAAAGGCCCCUGGAAUGUAACGCCUCUCGGGGCGUCUUAUAGC
rnacentral:rRNA from 1 species